rnacentral:rRNA from 1 species
GAUGAACGCUAGCGGCAGGCUUAACACAUGCAAGUCGAGGGGUAGAGGAAGCUUGCUUCCUUGAGACCGGCGCACGGGUGCGUAACGCGUAUGCAACCUACCUUUUACAGAGGGAUAGCCCAGAGAAAUUUGGAUUAAUACCUCAUAGUAUAUGUUUUUCGCAUGUUAGACAUAUUAAAGUUCCAACGGUAAAAGAUGGGCAUGCGUCCUAUUAGCUAGAUGGUAAGGUCACGGCUUACCAUGGCAACGAUAGGUAGGGGUCCUGAGAGGGAGAUCCCCCAAACUGGUACUGAGACACGGACCAGACUCCUACGGGAGGCAGCAGUGAGGAAUAUUGGACAAUGGGCGCAAGCCUGAUCCAGCCAUGCCGCGUGCAGGAAGAAGCAUCUAUGGUGUGUAAACUGCUUUUGUACGGGAAGAAGCACUCCCUCGUGAGGGAGCUUGACGGUACCGUAAGAAUAAGGAUCGGCUAACUCCGUGCCAGCCGCCGCGGUAACAC